GGCUCAAUGGUCUAGUCGUACGAUUCUCCGUUCGGGUCGGAGAGGUCCCGGGUUCAAUUCCCGGUUGAGCCC